UUUUUUUGAGUUGGUGUUUGAAAAAAAUAAAGAGACGGAUGUCCUUAUGUUGUCCAGGCUGGAAUGCCCAAUUCCACUAUGAUCAGGACCAGAGUUUCAAUCUGUUCCAUUCUGACCUGGGCCAGUUCACCCUUCCUUAGUCAACCUGGCAGUCCCCCACUCCAAGGAGGUCACCAUAUCAUGCUGAACUUGGUAUGGAUACCCAUCAGCACAGUGCAUCACAGCUCAGAACUCCUGGGCUCAAGGGAUCGUCCCUCUCGGUAGCUGGGACUCAAGGCUUACCAUCGAGCUGGGAGAAAAGGCAAUUGUUGAGGUAUCACAGGGUACAAGGAGGACAGAAUUGUCUCCAAUUGGGUGAACGGCCUAUACAAAAAGAAGUCUUGAAAGUAGUGGGAAAUGAGAGGGAGAAACAUAGGCAAUUGAAGUGGGGAGGGGAAGGAGCUCUUCAAGAUUAUUGGCUUUGCUAACCAGAGAGGGCAAAUGGGAGGAAGGGUCUCAGCCAUGCUGGAGAUAAGAGCACCUGGAAUCCCUCAAGUGGAGUCUUUUUACUGGGAGGGACCCAGAAUGCAGCUUGGCUGGAGGGGAGAGAAGCUGAAGGAGGUUGGGGUAGCUGGUAGGAGCUUUGAAGCCAGGCUGGAGGUUUAUAUUUGAUGCCUGGGUCUGGGAAGGCCUGGGGCACAGAAACAAAAGGUAGGAGUAGUUUUCUCCUAUGGACUCUCUCUAUUAGAUGAAGACCCUGGGAGGACAGGGCCUAUAUCUUCUGUUUUUUUCCUACGCUCAUCUAGGUGUUUGGGACCCACAAGCAGAGCCCCUAAGGCAAGGAUCUGGAAAUGGCUGAGGCAGCCUGCUGAUCGGGAUGGUGUGGCAGGGACCGUAGGAGCUCCCUCCUUCCACUAGCCUUCCCAGAAUGAUCUCCUUCCCUCGGAAGGUGCCGUUCCCGCAAGAGGAACACUCUACUGUUGUUGCCAAUGCCCUUCUUCGGCUAAUCCCCCUGUGAGCAUGUUUUUGCCAGCGGCUGCUAAGCCAGAUUUAGCCACCAGGGGGCAAAAAAUCAGCCCUUAAGGUCACUGUCCCUCCUCUUCCCCACCCACACACCUGAAGGCCAAGAUGGGCGGUGCCUCACCUGGCGCUCAGUAGCUGCGUUAACCCCUUCCUGCCUAGUCUGCGGUGCUCGCUCGGCAGUGAUUCAAAGCAGAGCUGAAGGGGCACAGCGGACGGGGGAGGGGCUGUUCGCUAGGGGAGGGGCUACGGCAGAGGUGAAGUCAGGUUUCCAGCUACUCAGGUCCUUGUCCUCGCUGGAGCUGGGAGAGGCUAGCGUCCCCUGCCUCCGUUGGGCGAUAGAGUCCUUUCCAGGAACCCGUCUGGCUGGACUCCUCCCACCUUCUCGGGGUAGUGCUCCAGCCGGUGAGGAGUACCAGCUGGAGAAUCCUUUUGUCCUAGUAACCCCGGCAACGCGAUGCCUAAUCGCAGAUAUCGGCAGCCCUCGCGCUGACCCCCAGCAGCCCCAAAGUAAAUUGUAUUACAAGA